UUCGCUUAAACCCUCAAAAAUCACUAAACCCUGAGGAGUCAUGACUCUUAUGGGGCUCUCCUCUCAUCUCUGAAAAGUGAAAGCACAGUGCGAGCUCAGAAGCCCCCAUGAAGUUCCUCCUCCGAUCUCCGCUAAAACCCCACCACUACCACCGCCAAAGCCGCCGGAGCUUCGGUGACGCCACCAUCAAACGGGUUCAAGACCGGGGUCUCGAGCACGCGGUGGAGAAAGAGAGGAGCCUCAAGCCCAUGCUCAAUAUCAAGAACCUCAUCAAAUCUGAACCCUCCAAGUCUGUGCCCAUCUCCCUCAUUUCUCAAAACAAAGAAGCGCUCGGCCUCUGGACCCGGCCCAUCGAUUUCAUCCGCAGGUUUCCCUCCAUUUUUGAGGAAUUCCUUCCGGGAGGGAUUAAGAUACACCCACAUGUCCGCCUCACACCGGAAGUUCUCAGCCUCGAUGGCGAGGAGUUAUCCAUCUUCCAAACUGAAAAUUAUCGAAAACAAGCCGCGGACCGGCUUUUGAAGCUCUUGAUGCUUUCAAGAAUCAAUAAAAUUCCAUUGACUAUUGUUGAUCGAUUGAAAUGGGAUCUGGGUCUUCCUCAAGAUUAUGUGGAAACGUUGGUUCCGGAGUUUCCGGACUAUUUUCAAGUCACUAGUGCGGAGGAUCAUUUUUCGGGUUCACGGGGGAUGCGGGUUUUGGAAUUGGUGUGUUGGAGUAAUGAAUUGGCAAUUUCUGUGAUGGAAAAGAAAGCCAUGGCUGGCCAGGGGGGUUUUGAGAAGGGAAUGGCUAUUGCUUUCCCUUUGCAUUUUUCCAGAGGUUUUGAGAUGGAUAAGAAGAUGAAGAAGUGGGUUGAUGAAUGGCAGAAACUGGUCUAUAUUUCUCCAUAUGAAAAUGCCUCACAUCUUCCUCCCAAAAGUGAUGAAUCAGAUAAGUGGGCUGUUGGGUUAUUGCAUGAGCUUCUUCACCUUUUUGUUCCUAGGAAGACAGAUAAAGAGAAUAUAUUGUGUCUUGGGGAGUAUAUGGGUCUUCGGUCGAGGUUCAAGAGGGCCUUGGUUAAUCACCCGGGUAUAUUUUAUUUAUCGACUAAGACUGGGAUGCAUACUGUGUUGUUGAAGGAGGCAUAUAAGAGGGACUUGUUGAUUGAGAAGCAUCCACUGAUGGAGAUGAGGUAUCAGUAUAUUCAUCUUAUGAACACUGCAAAGGAAGAUAACAAGCCGAUUAAUGCUCCAGGAACUAGUCCUAAAAAAGAACAGAAAAAUGCUAGUGAUGCCAGUGGAGAAAAAAGUGAACAAGUGGAGGAUGCUGAAAGUGGGGAAGAAUAUGAAGGUGAGCUACACAGUGAUGUUGAGGAGGCUAGUGAUGACGACUAUGAGGAUGAGGAUGAGGAUGAUGAAAUUGAGACUCACAGAGAUGCGCACCAGAAUGUUGCAUCCAAUAGAAGAACAACUAGAAAAGUGAAUUUUGAUGCUAGAGGACCUUUAAGAAAUCCUGUCCAAGAAAGGUCAGGAGGAAGAUUACCUGGUGGAAGAGAGGGACAAGGAUACCCUGGUGCAAGAGAGGGACAAAGAUACCCUGGUGCAAGAGAGGCACAAAGGUACCCUGGUGCAAGAGAGGGACAAAGAUACCCUGGUGCAAGAGAGGGACAAAGACACCCUGGUGCAAGAGAGGGUCAAAGAUACCCUGGUACAAGAGAGGGACAAAGAUACCCUGGUGCAAGAGAGGGACAAAGAUACCCUGGUACAAGAGAGGGACAAAGAUACCCUGGUGCAAGAGAGGGACAAAGAUACCCUGGUGCAAGAGAGGGACAAAGAUACCCUGGUACAAGAGAGGGACUUCGUUCUGGUAAAAGAGCAGAAAUGUAUAAUGGCAAUAAAGUCCGUGGACGAUCAUCAGAGAAGUCAAAUUUCCCAAGAAGCAGGGGGAGGUCAUUGACAGACAAGAGGGCUUCUUUUCAGUAAAGAUUAGAUUCAGUUUAUUUGCUGCAGACCAUGUGGAAUAGAUAAAAACAAAACCUUUGCCCACUCUUAAAUCCCAACUAUGUGAUUGGGGAGAUUGGCCAUCACAAGGUUCAUCACAUCCUGUUCUACCCUGGUCAGCCUUCUGCCACUGUGGUCGCUCAAAGGGAGCCAACAGAUUGAGUGACCAUGUUGGCAGGCGGUUCUGCAAAGUCUCAUUUUUUCAGUUUAGUGAUGCCACACCAUGGUGACCUGAUACCCUCAUGUGCACUGCCACUGUUGCCGGCCGGGAAACAGACUUCAUUUGUCUUUCUGGUUCUCCAUCUUGUGGAUGAUGUGCUGCUGCAAUUCUCUGUGAAAGGCAUCCCGCAGCUUCAAUAUCAAGAGACACAGCUUCUGUUGUUGUGGUGGGGAGGACUUUGAGAACCUUGGGAUAGUUUGUCUAUCCACCACGGCAACACAGUACUCAGGUCCCUCUGAUCUCAUACUCUCCCUCCAUUACUUCAUGAUAUAAUUCACAAUACUAAACUUGUUGGACCUCUAUUUUGUAAUUUUGCCUGGGGAUAUCAUAAACAGGUAGCUCAGCUGGAAGUCUUCCUUC